rnacentral:misc_RNA from 1 species
GAUGAAGAACGUAGCGAAAUGCGAAAAGUAGUGUGAAUUGCAGAAUUCAGUGAAUCAUCGAAUCUUUGAACGCACCUUGCACCCUUUGGCAUUCCGAAGGGUAUGCUCGUUUGAGUGUCAUUGUACUCUCACUCUCCCGAUCUUUGGAUCGGGAGUGGUGGACUUGGGUGUUGCUGCUUUACCGUGGCUCACCUCAAAUGGAUUCGUGCAACUCCUGGUUGGACAUAGUACGGCGUGAUAAGUGUCUUCGCCGGCACCUCACUAGAGGGUGGCUGACCGGGAGCUCUGUGCUUCAAACCGUCUUCGGACAACAACUGACAACUUGACCUCAAAUCGAGUAGGACCACCCGCUGAACUUAAGCAUAUCAAUAAGCGGAGGA